rnacentral:rRNA from 1 species
UACGUAGGGGGCAAGCGUUGUCCGGAUUUAUUGGGCGUAAAGAGCGUGUAGGCGGCCUGAAAGGUCAGCUGUGAAAACUCGAGGCUCAACCUCGAGACGUCGGUUGAAACCAUCUGGCUAGAGUCCGGAAGAGGAGAGUGGAAUUCCCGGUGUAGCGGUGAAAUGCGCAGAUAUCGGGAAGAACACCCGUGGCGAAGGCGGCUCUCUGGGACGGUACUGACGCUGAGGCGCGAAAGCUAGGGGAGCAAACAGG